UACGUAGGGGGCGAGCGUUGUCCGGAAUUAUUGGGCGUAAAGAGCUCGUAGGCGGUUCGGCAAGUCACGUGUGAAAUCUCCACGCUCAACGUGGAGGCGCCACGUGAGACUGCUGUGACUCGAGUCCGGUAGGGGAGCGUGGAAUUCCCGGUGUAGCGGUGAAAUGCGCAGAGAUCGGGAGGAACACCCGUAGCGAAGGCGGCGCUCUGGGCCGGUACUGACGCUGAGGAGCGAAAGCGUGGGGAGCGAACAGG
rnacentral:rRNA from 1 species